UACAGAGGGUGCGAGCGUUGUCCGGAAUCACUGGGCGUAAAGGGCGCGUAGGUGGCGUCGCAAGUCGAUGGUGAAAGCUCGUCGCUCAACGACGCGUCGGCCAUUGAUACUGCGAGGCUGGAGCACUGUAGAGGCUCAUGGAAUUCCGGGUGUAGCGGUGGAAUGCGUAGAGAUCCGGAAGAACACCGGUGGCGAAGGCGGGUGAGCUGGGGCAGUAGCUGACACUGAGGCGCGACAGCGUGGGGGAGCAAACAGGG
rnacentral:rRNA from 1 species